rnacentral:rRNA from 1 species
AGUGAACGCUGGCGGUAGGCCUAACACAUGCAAGUCGAACGGCAGCACAGUAAGAGCUUGCUCUUACGGGUGGCGAGUGGCGGACGGGUGAGGAACACAUCGGAAUCUUCUUUUUCGUGGGGGAUAACGUAGGGAAACUUACGCUAAUACCGCAUACGACCUACGGGUGAAAGCAGGGGAUCUUCGGACCUUGCGCGAUUGAAUGAGCCGAUGUCGGAUUAGCUAGUUGGCGGGGUAAAGGCCCACCAAGGCGACGAUCCGUAGCUGGUCUGAGAGGAUGAUCAGCCACACUGGAACUGAGACACGGUCCAGACUCCUACGGGAGGCAGCAGUGGGGAAUAUUGGACGAUGGGCGCAAGCCUGAUCCAGCCAUACCGCGUGGGUGAAGAAGGCCUUCGGGUUGUAAAGCCCUUUUGUUGGGAAAGAAAAGCAGCAGGUUAAUACCCCGCUGUUCUGACGGUACCCAAAGAAUAAGCACCGGCUAACUUCGUG